rnacentral:rRNA from 1 species
GACGUAGGAGACAAACGUUAUCCGGAGUUACUGGGCGUAAAGGGCGUGUAGGUGGUUGCGUAAGUCUGGCGUGAAAUUUUUCGGCUUAACCGGGAAAGGUCGUCGGAGACUGCGUAGCUAGAGGACGGUAGAGGCGUGUGGAAUUCCGGGUGUAGUGGUGAAAUGCGUAGAGAUCCGGAGGAACACCAGUGGCGAAGGCGACACGCUGGGCCGUACCUGACACUUAAGCGCGACAGCAUGGGGAGCAAACAGG